UGGGGAAUUUUGACACUGGGGGCAACCCUGAUCCAGCCAUUCCGCGUGAGUGAUGAAGGCCUUCGGGUUGUAAAGCUCUUUUGUCCGGAGCGAAACGGUUGUGGUGAAUAUCCACGACUACUGACGGUACCGGGAAGAAUAAGCACCGGCUAACUACGUGC
rnacentral:rRNA from 1 species